UCUAAAAUGGCAGACUUAAUGCCUAAGAUUUAAGCUCUUAUUAUGAAGGUUACUCUUCUUUUAGAA
rnacentral:tRNA from 1 species